GAUGAACGCUGGCGGCGUGCUUAACACAUGCAAGUCGAACGAUGAAGCUGGAGCUUGCUCUGGUGGAUUAGUGGCGAACGGGUGAGUAACACGUGAGCAACCUGCCCCUGACUCUGGGAUAACAGCCGGAAACGGCUGCUAAUACCGGAUCUGCACCAUGAACGCAUGUUCUGUGGUGGGAAAGAUUUUUCGGUUGGGGAUGGGCGCGCGGCCUAUCAGCUUGUUGGUGAGGUAAUGGCUCACCAAGGCGUCGACGGGUAGCCGGCCUGAGAGGGUGACCGGCCACAAUGGGACUGAGACACGGCGCAGACUCCUACGGGGGGCAGCAGUGGGGAAUAUUGCACAAUGGGCGAAAGCCUGAUGCAGCAACGCCGCGUGAGUGAUGACGGCCUUCGGGUUGUAAACCUCUUUUAGCAGGGAAGAAGCGAGAGUGACGGUACCUGCAGAAAAAGCGCCGGCUAACUACGUG
rnacentral:rRNA from 1 species